rnacentral:rRNA from 1 species
CUGACACUGACACUGAGGUGCGAAAGCGUGGGUAGCAAACAGGAUUAGAUACCCUGGUAGUCCACGCCGUAAACGAUGUCGACCAGCCGUUGGGUGCCUAGCGCACUUUGUGGCGAAGUUAACGCGAUAAGUCGACCGCCUGGGGAGUACGGCCGCAAGGUUAAAACUCAAAUGAAUUGACGGGGGCCCGCACAAGCGGUGGAGCAUGUGGUUUAAUUCGAUGCAACGCGAAGAACCUUACCUACUCUUGACAUCCUGCGAACUUGUGAGAGAUCACUUGGUGCCUUCGGGAGCGCAGAGACAGGUGCUGCAUGGCCGUCGUCAGCUCGUGUUGUGAAAUGUUGGGUUAAGUCCCGUAACGAGCGCAACCCUUGUCCUUAUUUGCCAGCGGGUAAUGCCGGGAACUCUAAGGAGACUGCCGGUGACAAACCGGAGGAAGGUGGGGACGACGUCAAGUCAUCAUGGCCCUUACGAGUAGGGCUACACACGUGCUACAAUGGCCGGUACAAAGGGUUGCGAGCUCGCGAGAGUCAGCUAAUCCCGAAAAGCCGGUCUCAGUCCGGAUCGGAGUCUGCAACUCGACUCCGUGAAGUCGGAAUCGCUAGUAAUCGUGAAUCAGAAUGUCACGGUGAAUACGUUCCCGGGCCUUGCACACACCGCCCGU